UUGGGUAUGGUGUAUCCAGUUGAUGCGUUCUGAUUUUUCGUUUUGUUUUUCAUCUUUUUGCACCUGUAAAUGUGGGAUCACUAGCACUAAAAAGAGUUCAUGUCCUGUACUAUACUUGACAUGCUUGACGUGUAAAUCAUCAGCUCAAAUGGAUGACAAAACAUGAUCUGGAUAGAGUCCAGUUGUGAAGCAAAAGUAUGUUUUUCAAGGAUUUCAAAAUUUUCAAUACAAAGUUGUAUCAUCUUUUCUGGC
rnacentral:sRNA from 1 species